rnacentral:rRNA from 1 species
UACGUAUGUCGCAAGCGUUAUCCGGAAUUAUUGGGCAUAAAGGGCAUCUAGGCGGCCAGGCAAGUCUGGGGUGAAAACUUGCGGCUCAACCGCAAGCCUGCCCUGGAAACUGCCUGGCUAGAGUGCUGGAGAGGUGGACGGAACUGCACGAGUAGAGGUGAAAUUCGUAGAUAUGUGCAGGAAUGCCGAUGAUGAAGAUAGUUCACUGGACGGCAACUGACGCUGAAGUGCGAAAGCUAGGGGAGCGAACAGG